rnacentral:rRNA from 1 species
UGGGGAAUUGUUCACAAUGGGCGCAAGCCUGAUGACGCAACGCCGCGUGGAGGAUGAAGGUCUUCGGAUUGUAAACUCCUGUUGCUCGGGACGAAAAGCUCUGACCUAAUACUUCAGAGUCUGACGGUACCGGGUGAGGAAGCCCCGGCUAAUUCUGUGCCAGCAGCCGCGGUAAUACAGAGGGGGCAAGCGUUGUUCGGAAUUACUGGGCGUAAAGGGCGCGUAGGCGGUUCAGUAAGUCGGGUGUGAAAACUUUGGGCUUAACCCAAAGCGUGCAUCCGAUACUGCUGUGACUUGAGUACGGUAGGGGAGCGGGGAAUUCCUAGUGUAGCGGUGAAAUGCGCAGAUAUUAGGAGGAACACCGGUGGCGAAGGCGCCGCUCUGGGCCGAAACUGACGCUGAGGAGCGAAAGCAUGGGUAGCAAACAGGAUUAGAUACCCUAGUAGUCCCUGAGCGGGC